rnacentral:lncRNA from 1 species
AAACAUUUUUUUUUAUAAAUUAUUAAAUAUUUUUACGCCAAUAAGCUAAUUUAUAUGACUCAAUGAAAAUAAAAUGUCAUUUAAUACUGAUUAACGUUUUGUCUCUCGCAUUUCUAUGCCUGAUUUUCCUUUACCAACACAAUUGAAUCUUCAAACAUUAAAAAAAUAUCUUUUAAAAGACAAAAUCCCUGCUUAUUUAAUAAACAAACUCAAUAACCUAAUUGUUGUUCUGG